UGUGACAAACUGGAAGUCGACACUGGAGGUGGCAGACCCCUGUGUGAGGAGGAAAGAUUCAGAGCUCAUGCAGGAUGUGGUCUAACUGGUGGCAUCGCACUGGUAAUUGUCUGAAGAUGACAUGGCCACUUAAUUUAAAAGAAGGAGAAGCAAAAGGGGAAGGAAGACAAAGAAGAGCUACCUCCACCAAAAGAAUAUGCAUUCCGUGACAUGGAGACUACUGCUGUUUUGGAUCUCAGAGCCUGAAACAUGGAAAGUGCUACAAAAAUGGGCAUUUGAUGAAUAUUUGUAAAGCAAAUUAAUGAAUGCAUGAAGAAGUUGCCUGUGUUUGUGAUCUCUAGGAGCUACAUCUCGUUCUCUUUCCUGUAUACAUAAUUUAGAGCCAAUCUAAGUCAGCAUCAAUUCUUUCAAAUAUAUCGAUCAAAUGCCUACCAUAUUUCGGGCAGAGAUACAAUAAUGAAUAAGAUACAUCCGACUGGCAAUACUUUGGACCUAAUG